rnacentral:tRNA from 1 species
GAGGGUAUAGCUCAAGUGGUAGAGCACAUGCUUAGCAUGCACGAGGUCCUGGGUUCAAUCCCCAGCACCUCCA